rnacentral:miRNA from 1 species
UUAUGUAUAAAUGUAUACACGUGCCCUACAUAUAUCCACAGAUAUAUAGUGUAUAUAUAUACAUGGAUACGUGUGUAUAUG